rnacentral:rRNA from 1 species
UACGAAGGGUGCAAGCGUUACUCGGAAUUACUGGGCGUAAAGCGUGCGCAGGCGGUUUUGUAAGCCAGAUGUGAAAUCCCCGGGCUUAACCUGGGAAUGGCAUUUGGGACUGCAAGGCUGGAGUGCGGCAGAGGAGACUGGAAUUCCCGGUGUAGCAGUGAAAUGCGUAGAUAUCGGGAGGAAUACCGAUGGCGAAGGCAGGUCUCUGGGCUGACACUGACGCUCAUGCACGAAAGCGUGGGGAGCAAACAGG